rnacentral:rRNA from 1 species
CCGAAUCCUGACACAGGGAGGUAGUGACAAGAAAUAACAAUACAGGGCUACUUCUAGUCUUGUAAUUGGAAUGAGUACAACUUACAUCUCUUCACGAGGAUCAAUUGGAGGGCAAGUCUGGUGCCAGCAGCCGCGGUAAUUCCAGCUCCAAUAGCGUAUAUUAAAGUUGUUGCAGUUAAAAAGCUCGUAGUCGGAUUUCGGGUCGGGCCGAGCGGUCUGCCGAUGGGUAUGCACUGUUCGGCGCGGCCUUCUUUCCGGAGACCGCGGCUACUCUUAACUGAGCGGGCGUGGGAGACGGAUCGUUUACUUUGAAAAAAUCAGAGUGUUUCAAGCAGGCAGCUCGCUCUUGCAUGGAUUAGCAUGGGAUAAUGAAAUAGGACUCUGGUGCUAUUUUGUUGGUUUCGAACACCGGAGUAAUGAUUAACAGGGACAGUCAG